CGCAGUUAGGAGGCCACGCCUCCAACGGCCAUCAAGCGCGAAGUCCCGCCUUCGCAGACAAAGGCCCAGUGGAAUCCCGGCUGACUCGGGAAGCCACGCCCCCUAGGGGGAGGGCCGCCCGAGUUUUCACCAGGCUCGCCACGGAGCCAAUAGAUACUUAUUGAGCAUCUACUACAUGCCAGGCACUGGGGAAUACAGGAGUCAACAAGAUAAGAAUCUCUGCCUUCAAGACCUAAUAACCCACUAUCGGGAGGGACAGACAAUCAAUGUGCUCUACUGCACACAGUCCUGGCCAAGGAGGCCUACGCUGAAGUCUGCAGGAUGACUAAGGAUUAAGUGGGCAUUCAAAGAUAAGAAGAGGUGACUCAUUGCCAGCAACUGCUUACCUCUAGU